rnacentral:rRNA from 1 species
UACGUAGGGGGCAAGCGUUGUCCGGAAUCAUUGGGCGUAAAGAGCGUGUAGGCGGCCCGAUAAGUCCGCCGUGAAAGUCCAGGGCUCAACCCUGGAAUGCCGGUGGAAACUGUCGGGCUCGAGUCCGGAAGAGGAGUGUGGAAUUCCUGGUGUAGCGGUGAAAUGCGCAGAUAUCAGGAGGAACACCAAUGGCGAAGGCAGCACUCUGGGACGUGACUGACGCUGAGACGCGAAAGCGUGGGGAGCAAACAGG